rnacentral:rRNA from 1 species
AUGCCGCGUGUGUGAUGAAGGCCUUAGGGUCGUAAAGCACUUUCGCCAGAGAUGAUAAUGACAGUAUCUGGUAAAGAAACCCCGGCUAACUCCGUGCCAGCAGCCGCGGUAAUACGGAGGGGGUUAGCGUUGUUCGGAAUUACUGGGCGUAAAGGGCUCGUAGGCUGAUUAAUCAGUCAGAGGUGAAAUCCCCGGGCUCAACCCUGGAACUGCCUUUGAUACUGCUAGUCUUGAGUUCUAGAGAGGAGAGCGGAAUUCCCAGUGUAGAGGUGAAAUUCGUAGAUAUUCGGAGGAACACCAGUGGCGAAGGCNGCUCACUGGCUCGAUACUGACGCUGGGGUGCGAAAGUGUGGGGAGCAAACAGGAUUAGAUACCCUGGUAGUCCACACCGUAAACGAUGAAUGCCAGUCGUCGGAGGGAUAUACUGUUCGGUGACACGCCUAACGGAUUAAGCAUUCCGCCUGGGGAGCACGGUCGCGAGAUUAACUCUCAGAGGAAUUGACGGGCGCGCGCACAAGCGGUGAGAGCGUGUGGUUUAAUUCCAAGCCACGCGCAAACCUUACCAACCCUUGACAUACUUAUCGUCUCUCCAGAGAUGGAGCUUUCAGUUCGGCUGGAUAACAUACAGGUGCUGCAUGGCUGUCGUCAGCUCGUGUCGUGAGAUGUUCGGUUAAGUCCGGCAACGAGCGCAACCCUCAUCUUUAGUUGCCAUCAGGUUCAGCUGGGCACUCUAGAGAAACUGCCCGUGAUGA